CUCUAAACAUCGGAACGGCUAUUUUAAACACUUUGUGCAGCAUGCUAUCGCAGAAAGCUACAGCAACCCAAUAACAGAAGACACUUGAAGGUCUCUCAGUUCUUCAAAGCCAAUAUUGUUAUGAGAGUUUUUUCACAAUAGCGCCCAGCAAAAAGUUGAUAGAUUCGGGGCACCGGUAGCCUGGUGGUUAGUGCGUGCACCCCAUGUACAGAGGCUAAAGUCCUCGAAAGCGCGUGGCCUGGGUUUGAAUCCGACCUUUAGUUCCUUUCCGGCACUACCGACUCUCUCUCUCCACGAUUUCUGACUCUAUCCACCGUCCUGUUUCUAAAUAAAGGCAUUAUAAGCCCAAAAAGAAAUAAUGUAUUCACAUAAAUUUGACAAGGUCAUUUGUUAAGCAAGUAAGUUGCUGAGUUUAAUCCUUUACACUGUUAAACACUGUAUCGUUAGCGUAUUUAUCAACCGGCAUUUUGCAUGUUUUAGUCUAUUCACUCUAGCUGUCAGAAGCAGAUUUACAGUCUACACUACACAUUCAAUUUGUGUGGAUAGUGUGUGGAUACUAUUUUAUAGUCUGUGCGGCAUAGGAGAUUACAUUUUGUGAGUAUCUUUGUGUUUUUUCUCCUGAUGUGUCCGAUAGCAUUUCAGCACUUGUUGGCACAAUCACGAUCUCACACAAAGUUCACAAAGUCUUCCUCGAGCACAGCCACGUCAGCAGGCUCUAAAACAGACUUUCAGUUUUAAAGGAGGAGAGCAGUCGGCUCCGUCUUUCCAACACAACAGGCACAGUGUUACAUAACAAAGCAGCUGUGGUUGUGUGCAUACACAUAGACAAUAGUACAAACGCACACACACACUCCCAACACAAGGGGAUGUUUCUAUCCCAUCUGGACUGACGAUUAACAACAGAUGUAUUUCUCUUGGUUAGAAAUAAAAGUUGACUUUGGUUAAUAUUAAUACAAUCAUAAUGUAGAGAAACUGAUGUAGCUAUAGUUUAACCUCUGUUUCCUUUUUUUUGCAUCUUAACACUAACAGAGCUGCCAAAAAAUCUGUCACAGAAUGUUCACAGUCUUAGUACCAAGAUAAGUCUUUAAAUUGCUGUUCUUACCCGGACAUCCUCUUUAACCAAAAAUGGAAAAUGUGAACCUCGUCUGCAUUUUGUGUCCAUAUUUAGCUAAGA